GGGGCCAGAGCGUUGGCUCUCCAUGACGUCACCACUUUUCCUCUGAUUGGUCGGUGAGAGCAAAACUCGUAAAACAGGAUCGAGCUGAGGCUCCAACCUGUGAACGCGUCUCGGCUCAGCCCUGGAGCGCAGCCUUCCUCGGUGCCGUACAGUUGCCGCGUCUGAGCCGAGGUCUGCAGGUGCGCCACGGACGCGCAGUCGCUCAGCACGUCCUGCUCCAGAUAAAGCUGUGGCGACAUCCCGUGGGAGAGAUUUUUACAGAAAGCACAAAAAUACUCUGAGAAGUGCGAAGAGAAGUUUGAGAAAUGGAGCUCCCUGGUUCACGUUCUUCCAUGUCACUGUGGUCCCUGUUUUUCCCAUCUUGUAAUUCCCAAGAUCUCGAUCAAUCCAUCAAGAUCUCAACCGGGAUUUACUUGAGUUUUCUCUAUUUACACCCUUUUUUUUUUUUUACGUAGGUUGAAAAAACUACCAAGCCUAUUUUGACAAAGAGUAGAAAGUACAGUUAUCAGUUUUCAAAUGUAGUGAGUAAAAGUAAAAAGUAAACCUAAAUCUCCCUAAGUAUAGAAAUGUGUACUUUGUGACUUCUGACCACUGACUUUCCAGCACUUCCCACCAGUGAGGACACUCCGCCGAGCCGCAAUUCAUUAAACUGGGUCGGACACGCCAAAUCAAGAGGCUCACAAUAAUCAUUUCAGUGUAUGAUUCUCUGCUAUAUUUAAUAAUCGAAUUCCCGCUUCGUGUUUCAGUGCCAAAUUUGUUUGAAAGCAAAAAGCGCGUCUUGUUCCGAGCCAAUCAACCAUCUCGCCGAUGGCAGCAAUCCCGGGGUUCCACUCGUCACGGUUACUCUUCGCUUUUCAUAUUCAUGAAUUUUAUUGCCUUCAUGUAUUUUUUAUUCCCCCCCCCCCCCGUCUUCAUGCACAAAAUACGAGUCGUAGCCCCGCGCACACAAUUCUUUUAGCGUGACGGUAAAUUACAAUGUAAUAUUUCCGAGCUAAAUUCCAUCUUUAUUUCCUGGCUUUUCUUUCAGUCACGCACGGGCAAAGCUAAAUUGUUUGGCGCUGCAACGGCUGACUGCUGAUGGGAUUUCUUUUUUUUUAUAAAUCUAAGCGACAGCUAAGAGGUGUCACUGUCUGACGCAGUGCAAUGAAAUGCACAGUUAAAGAGAAAACAAAAGUAUACAGAUGGGUUUUGUUUUGUUUUGACUUUUGCCCUAAUAACAGAACCAACUGGAAAUGAAACUCUGCCAAACGUUUUCUAUGCUAAACUGAGUCCAAAGCGGAACAAAUGUGAAUAAACAUAAAAGAUGUUUUGAAAGUGAAAGGGCUCAGAGAUGAUUGCGUCAGCCUGUCGGCAGGGGAUCUUGCUCUUAAGAUGGAGAAAUGGGAAUAGAAAUCAUCAUUUGAUGUACUAGAUCCUUCAAUGUCCCACCAAUACAUUUGCUACCCCUUAUGCAAUGCACUGUAAAAUUCCUGUUUAUCUGUAUAUUUUAAACUGAAUUAAAAUGAUUUGACUUACUAGAAUUUGAUCGUUCCCGUCUUGAUAAAGAUGAUGGUAAAACCAAUUACGGAAUUACUUCAUUGAUCCAAACAGCUCUGUUUUGGACUGUGGUUGGAAGUAAUAAAGUACAAAUACUUGGUUACCGUA